GUCAGUUCUCAGCCUUUUGGCUAAGAUCAAGUGUAAGAUUUGUUCUUGUUACCUGGAUCAGCAUCAUUAUUGUAAAUAAUUUAUAAUGUAUAUCUUAAUGUUUAUCUAAAAAAUAACCUGU
rnacentral:snRNA from 1 species